GAAUUUGGGGUUUUUGGGGGUCCCUUUCUCCUCAUCCCCAAUUUCCCCCCCCAGGUGCCCGCGGGACCUUCGGGGCCGGGACCUCCGAGGAGGAGGCUGAGCAGGUGCUGAGCGCCGCCUACGAAUUGGGGGUGACGCUUUUCGACGCGGCCGAAGCCUCGGCCAGGGUGGAGAAGAUGCUCGGGAGGAUCCUGAGGAGCAAAGGAUGG